rnacentral:rRNA from 1 species
ACGGAAGGCAGCAGUGGGGAAUAUUGCACAAUGGGGGAAACCCUGAUGCAGCGACGCCGCGUGAGCGAAGAAGUAUUUCGGUAUGUAAAGCUCUAUCAGCAGGGAAGAAAGUGACGGUACCUGACUAAGAAGCACCGGCUAAAUACGUGCCAGCAGCCGCGGUAAUACGUAUGGUGCAAGCGUUAUCCGGAUUUACUGGGUGUGAAGGGAGCGUAGACGGAUAGGCAAGUCUGGAGUGAAAACCCGGGGCUCAACCCCGGGACUGCUUUGGAAACUGUUUAUCUAGAGUGCUGGAGAGGUAAGUGGAAUUCCUAGUGUAGCGGUGAAAUGCGUGGAUAUUAGGAGGAACACCAGUGGCGAAGGCGGCUUACUGGACAGUAACUGACGUUGAGGCUCGAAAGCGUGGGGAGCAAACAGGAUUAAUACCCUGGUA